GACUCUUAGCUGUGGAUCACUCGGCUCGUGCGUCGAUGAAGAAUGCAGCUAGCUGCGAGAAUUAAUGUGAAUUGCAGGACACAUUGAUCAUCGACAUUUCAAACGCACUUGCGGCCCCGGGGUGUGCGCACGGCUGGGGGUUUCCUCCCAGGGCCC
ensembl:rRNA 5_8S_rRNA 5.8S ribosomal RNA